UACGGGGGGGGCAAGCGUUGUUCGGAAUUACUGGGCGUAAAGCGUGCGCAGGCGGUGAUGUAAGACAGAUGUGAAAUCCCCGGGCUUAACCUGGGAAUGGCCAUGGAAACUGGCGAACUGGAGUGCGGCAGAGGGGGGUGGAAUUCCGCGUGUAGCAGUGAAAUGCGUAGAUAUCUGGAGGAACACCGGUGGCGAAGGCGGCAUCCUGGACCGACACUGACGCUGAGGCGCGAAAGCUAGGGUAGCAAACGGGG
rnacentral:rRNA from 1 species